UUGGAGGGCAAGUCUGGUGCCAGCAGCCGCGGUAAUUCCAGCUCCAAUAGCGUAUAUUAAAGUUGUUGCAGUUAAAAAGCUCGUAGUUGAAUUUCGGGAUCAAUAUUUCGGUCAUGCCGUUGGUAUGCACUGUUAUCAUUGAUUUCUCACCUUCUAAAGAACCGUAAUGCCAUUAAUUUGGUGUUACGAGGAAUUAGGACUGUUACCUUGAAAAAAUUAGAGUGUUUAAAGCAGGCUCACGCUUGAGUACAUUAGCAUGGAAUAAUGAAAUAGGACAUCCGAUUCUAUUUUGUUGGUUUCUAGGAUCGAUGUAAUGAUUAAUAGGGAUAGUUGGGGGCAUUAGUAUUCAAUUGUCAGAGGUGAAAUUCUUGGAUUUAUUGAAGACUAACUACUGCGAAAGCAUUUGCCAAGGAUGUUUUCAUUAAUCAAGAACGAAAGUUAGGGGAUCGAAGACGAUCAGAUACCGUCGUAGUCUUAACCAUAAACUAUGCCGACUAGGGAUCGGAUGAUGUUAAUUUUUUAAUGACUCAUUCGGCGCCUUACGGGAAAC
rnacentral:rRNA from 1 species